rnacentral:rRNA from 1 species
UGGGGAAUAUUGCACAAUGGGCGAAAGCCUGAUGCAGCAACGCCGCGUGAGGGACGACGGCCUUCGGGUUGUAAACCUCUUUUAGCAAGGAAGAAGCGAAAGUGACGGUACUUGCAGAAAAAGCGCCGGCUAACUACGUGCCAGCAGCCGCGGUAAUACGUAGGGCGCAAGCGUUAUCCGGAAUUAUUGGGCGUAAAGAGCUCGUAGGCGGUUUGUCGCGUCUGCUGUGAAAACCCGAGGCUCAACCUCGGGCCUGCAGUGGGUACGGGCAGACUAGAGUGCGGUAGGGGAGAUUGGAACUCCUGGUGUAGCGGUGGAAUGCGCAGAUAUCAGGAAGAACACCGAUGGCGAAGGCAGAUCUCUGGGCCGUAACUGACGCUGAGGAGCGAAAGGGUGGGGAGCAAACAGGCUUAGAUACCCUGGUAGUCCACCCGUAACGUUGGGAACUAGUUGUGGGGUCCAUUCCACGGAUUCCGUGACGCAGCUAACGCAUUAAGUUCCCCGCCUGGGGAGUACGGCCGCAAGGCUAAACUUAAAUGAAUUGACGGGGUCAUAGCUGUUUCCU